GGGACCACGUUUAUGAGACAAGAGUGUGUGAGUAAUGAGUGUUUUGGAGCAUACUUUCAAAGAUUACACACAU
ensembl:ncRNA C45B2.16 ncRNA